rnacentral:lncRNA from 1 species
UUUAAUAAUAAUUUUUUUAAUAAUAAUUUUUUAAUAAAUAUAAAAUACUUAAAAAAAUAUAUGAAAAUAGAUAGCUAUCAAGUACACUAUUUCAACCAUGAAUCUUACAAAGAUAGACAAGAAGCCUUUUCAAUUUAAUAUAAUUCUUGAAUGGAAGCACAUAAAAGUAAUUAUUCUAAAUGAAGGGCCAUGAAACUGAUUAAAUAACUGAGAUAAUGCUUGGCAAUACUGUUUACCACAAGAGCCG